GAUGAACGCUGGCGGCGUGCCUAAUACAUGCAAGUCGAGCGAACAGACCAGGAGUUUGCUCCUCUGACGUUAGCGGCGGACGGGUGAGUAACACGUGGAUAACCUACCUAUAAGACUGGGAUAACUUCGGGAAACCGGAGCUAAUACCGGAUAAUAUAUUGAACCGCAUGGUUCAAUAGUGAAAGACGGUUUUGCUGUCACUUAUAGCUGGAUCCGCGCCGCAUUAGCUAGUUGGUAAGGUAAAGGCUUACCAAGGCAACGAUGCGUAGCCGACCUGAGAGGGUGAUCGGCCACCCUGGAACUGAGACACGGUCCAGACUCCUACGGGAGGACGCAGUAGGGAAUCUUACGCAAUGGGCGAAAGCUUGACGGAGGAACGCCGCGUGAGUGAUGAAGGUCUUCGGAUCGUAAAACUCUGUUAUUAGGGAAGAACAAAUGUGUAAGUAACUAUGCACGUAUUGACGGUACCUACUCAGAAAGCCACGGCUAACUACGUG
rnacentral:rRNA from 1 species